rnacentral:rRNA from 1 species
AUUGAACGCUGGCGGCAGGCCUAACACAUGCAAGUCGAGCGGAGAGGCGGAAGGGUGAGGAAGGCAUAGGAAUCUGCCUGGGAGUGGGGGAAAACGUCCGGAAACGGGCGCGAAGACCGCAGACUAUCAGAUGAGACUAGGUGUGAUUAGCUAGUUGGUGGGGUAAAGGCCUACCAAGGCGACGAUCCGUAACGGGUCUUAGAGGAGGAUCAGUCAAACUGGAACUGAGACACGGUCCAGACUCCUACGGGAGGCAGCAGUGGGGAAUAUUGGACAAUGGGCGAAAGCCUGAUCCAGCCAUGCCGCGUGUGUGAAGAAGGUCUUCGGAUUGUAAAGCACUUUAAGUUGGGAGGCGUUCCCAACCUUCUCAGCACCGGCUAACUUCGUGCCAGCAGCCGCGGUAAUAC